AUACCACUUGUUGCCUCGGCGGAUCAGCCCGCUCCCGGUAAAACGGGACGGCCCGCCAGAGGACCCCUAAACUCUGUUUCUAUAUGUAACUUCUGAGUAAAACCAUAAAUAAAUCAAAACUUUCAACAACGGAUCUCUUGGUUCUGGCAUCGAUGAAGAACGCAGCAAAAUGCGAUAAGUAAUGUGAAUUGCAGAAUUCAGUGAAUCAUCGAAUCUUUGAACGCACAUUGCGCCCGCCAGUAUUCUGGCGGGCAUGCCUGUUCGAGCGUCAUUUCAACCCUCAAGCCCUCGGGUUUGGUGUUGGGGAUCGGCGAGCCCUUUGCGGCAAGCCGGCCCCGAAAUCUAGUGGCGGUCUCGCUGCAGCUUCCAUUGCGUAGUAGUAAAACCCUCGCAACUGGUACGCGGCGCGGCCAAGCCGUUAAACCCCCAACUUCUGAAUGUUGACCUCGGAUCAGGUAGGAAUACCCGCUGAACUUAAGCAUAUCAAUAA
rnacentral:rRNA from 1 species